UAGGAUAUGAAUUACACACAACUACCUAAUCGAGGUGUGAUAGCACUGCAUGGUUCAGACACAAAAAACUUCCUACAGAGCAUCAUAACAAAUGAUAUCAACAAAUUGGAUCAUCAAAAGGCCAUAUACUCCCUAUUACUUAACCCUCAGGGAAAAUAUUUAUACGAUUUUUUUCUUAUUGCAUAUGGUAAAUAUAUUUUCCUAGAAUGUGAAAGCAUAUACCUAACACAGAUAAUUGCAAAACUAGAUCUGCUUAAAACUUACUUAAAAGUCAGAAUUAAAGAUGUUAGUGCACUAUAUAAAGUUGGAGUUUUUUUCAAUACUAAAUUAGCAGAGCAUAGCAAUAGACUUCUUUCAAAACCGAUUUAUGGUAAGGAAUUUUUAGGAGAAGUGCAAGCGAGCACCACAGAAUACUUGGAUGUAUUUGAGGAGCACAGCUCAGCUUCGACAACAAAAUUGCCAUCAGAAAUUGAAUUGUGCAAGAAGUCUAAUGAAUCACAGAUUAUUUUUCAAGACCCACGACAUACAUCUUUAGGAGUAAGAAUAAUACAUAAAAAUGAAAUAACAGAACAAAAAUCAACAGGAGAUUCCUCCAAAUAUGAACU